CAAAUAAAUUAUGUUUAUUAUCACAUAAUAUUUACAGGUUAACAAAGCAAAAGAUAAUAUUUUACACAUUUCUAUCAUUUUGCAGAAAAUGCACCUAUUUAACAAGUUAAGUCUAUUAAACAAGUAGUCUAUUAAAAUCAAUAUAUACUUUGAACAUGUAUCAUUCUUUUACCUCAAGAGAAAUAGAAGGCUAAUUUCAGAAAUGGAAACAUAAAGUAAAGAUUUGAAACAAAAAUAGUUCCCUACCACAAAGUCUAUUUUUGUGUGAAAAUAAAACUGCAGCUAAAGGAAUGAUACAUUGUACAUCAAACAAAACAAUUCAAAUUCUAUAAUCUAACAGAUUUUUUUUCGCUUUAUCCAAGACAUCAUUCUAAAUCAAAGAGCUGAAAGCUCUGAAGAAAAAUGACGCCACUGUCUCUAAUAUUGGGAUAGUUUUUAUGCAAGUCUUGAUUUUCACAUACCGUAAUUAGUUUAAUAAUGCAACAUGUAUCGUGAGCAUAUAAUUGAUAUUCGUAUAUGUGUGUGUGUGUGAAGUGAAGGUGACAACUGGCUGGUUUUUUAAGACAAAUGAAUAGGUCAAGACUAGCUGAAUUGUACAAAUAAAUACCGUAGAAAGGCUUGUAUAUUUCUCACUGGUACAUAGUCUGAAUCUGGGUCCGUUCGCUUCCAUUCACGUUUGCGCCCACUCAUUUUCACCCCUUUCACUUUCACACCCUACAUGUUCGCACCCAAUCUUAAUUGGUUUUGUGUUUAAUAACUCUGUAAGCAAGUGUUUUCUUAUAAGUAUAAUUGUUGUCAUUGUCUCAAAAUAAAGCGAGACAGCAAUUUUUUUUUUUGUGUUGAAUAAAUCUUAAUCAUGUUUUGGAUAAGGUAUUGCUAAAAAUAAUAAUAAUCCUUUCUAAAUAAAGUGGUAUUUUGUCAACGUUUUAUUUUGUGUUGAAUAACUCUUAAUCAUGUUUUGGUUAGUGUAUUGCUAUAACUUGUUUCAUUGACUUGUUUCAAAAUGAAGUGAGAUUCUGACUAUGUUUGUUUCUGCGUGUUGAAUAAAUUUUAUCAUGUUUUGGU
rnacentral:lncRNA from 1 species